GACGAACGCUGGCGGCGUGCCUAAUACAUGCAAGUCGAACGCAGUGGGUACGGGUGCUUAACACGUGGGUAACCUCCCAUCAGAGGGGAUAACACUUGGAAACAGGUGCUAAAACGAUACUGAUUGAUGGACCCGCGGUUCAUUAGCUAUUUGGGGAGGUAACGGCUCACCAAGGCCACGAUGCAUAGCCGACCUGAGAGGGUGAUCGGCCACACGGGGACGGAGACACGGCCCAGACUCCUACGGGAGGCAGCAGUAGGGAAUCUUCGGUAAUGGACGAAAGUCUGACCGAGCAACGCCGCGUGAGUGAAGAAGGUUUUCGGAUCGGAAAACUCUGUUGGUAGAGAAGCGGUAUCUAACCAGAAAGCCACGGCUAACUACGUGUCAGCAGCCGCGGUAAUUC
rnacentral:rRNA from 1 species